rnacentral:rRNA from 1 species
AGCAGCCACUCAUUAAAAGAGUGCGUAAUAGCUCACUGGUCGAGUGACUCUGCGCCGAAAAUUUAACGGGGCUAAACUAUACACCGAAGCUUGGGAUACAUCUAAUGUAUGGUAGGAGAGCGUUCUGUAUGGGGAGAAGUCGUAGCGAAAGCGGCGGUGGACUAUACAGAAGUGAGAAUGCCGGAAUAAGUAGCGAGAAUUAAGUGAGAAUCUUAAUGGCCGAAAGUCUAAGGUUUUUGGAGGAAGGUUCGUCCGCUCCAAGUAAGUCGGGAGCUAAGGUCAGGCCGAAAGGCGUAGCCGAUGCACAUACGGUUGAUAUUCCGUAACCAUCUGUAAUUUAAGCAAAGGGACACUUCAAAAGGGUGUGACCCGGGCGUUGGUUGACCCGGGCGUAAGGGACCGAAAUCAGAGUAGGGAAGCACACUUAGCUGAAGGCGAGAAAAGCUUUGCGUAUAGAAACAGAUGCCCGUACCGCAAACCGACACAGGUGGACAGGAAGAGAAUUCUAAGGCCAGCGGGAGAAGGGUAGUUAAGGAACUCGGCAAAUUGACUCCGUAACUUCGGAAUAAGGAGUGCUCGAAAGAGCCGCAGAGAAUAGGCCCAGGCGACUGUUUAGCAAAAACACAGGUCUCUGCCAAAUCGAAAGAUGAAGUAUAGGGGCUGACACCUGCCCGGUGCCGGAAGGUUAAGAGGAGGAGUGAGAGCUCCGAAUUGAAGCCCCGGUAAACGGCGGCCGUAACUAUAACGGUCCUAAGGUAGCGAAAUUCCUUGUCGGGUAAGUUCCGACCCGCACGAAUGGUGUAACGAUCUGGGCACUGUCUCAACUACCCACCCGGCGAAAUUGUAGUACCGGUGAAGAUGCCGGUUACCUGCGGCAAGACGGAAAGACCCCAUGGAGCUUUACUGUAGCCUGAUAUUGGGUUUCGGAAAUCUAUGUACAGGAUAGGCGGGAGACUGGGAAACAUGAGCGUCAGCUUGUGUGGAGUCGAUGUUGGGAUACCGCCCUUAGGUUUCUGGAAUUCUAACCUGCGGCCGUGAAACCGGUCGGGGGACAUUGUCAGGUGGGCAGUUUGACUGGGGCGGUCGCCUCCGAAAAGGUAACGGAGGCGCUCAAAGGUUAGCUCAGCACGGACGGAAACCGUGCCUCUGAGUGUAAACGCAAAAGCUAGCCUAACUGCGAGGGUGACGGCCCGAGCAGUAACGAAAGUUGGAGUUAGUGAUCCGGCGGUAUGUGAAUGGAAAUGCCGUCGCUCAACGGAUAAAAGCUACCCUGGGGAUAACAGGCUGAUCUCCCCCAAGAGUCCACAUCGACGGGGAGGUUUGGCACCUCGAUGUCGGCUCAUCGCAUCCUGGGGCUGUAUUCGGUCCCAAGGGUUUGGCUGUUCGCCAAUUAAAGCGGUACGCGAGCUGGGUUCAGAACGUCGUGAGACAGUUCGGUCCCUAUCUGUCGUGGGCGCAGGAUAUUUGAGGAGCUCUGUCCUUAGUACGAGAGGACCGGGAUGGACGUACCUCUGGUGCACCAGUUGUCAUGCCAAUGGCACGGCUGGGCAGCUAUGUACGGAACGGAUAAACGCUGAAAGCAUCUAAGCGUGAAGCCGACUCCAAGAUUAGAUAUCCCAUCGUAUAACGAGUAAGACCCCUUGAAGACUACGAGGUUGAUAGGCUGCGUGUGUAAGUGCCGUGAGGCAUUCAGCUUGGCAGUACUAAUAGGUCGAGGGCUUGACCAC